AUUGCUCCAUGCCAACCGUCGUUGCUGGAGGAGGGAGAUGAGGCUGGAAAACUGGAGGUGAGGCCGGAGACUGAGAUCUGGCCGUGAAGGCCGUGGAUCGCCGCGUGGAUGCCUUGCGGGGAGGCAUCGGGCGAAAAUCUAGUGGGGGAAGGAGGAGUGGACGUCGGAAAAGAUGACUGGAGGCGGUCCCGUUGAGCGCUCCAUUAAGAACAAGGGUAUUGCGAAGACACAGCCCCCUUCCUCUAGCGCCAAUCCUGUUGGUGCAAAAAUCUGCCUGCGUCAGAGAAACUGGAGUCGAGGGAGUCGCGAUCACCGUCGGAACCUGCAAAAGAAGUCUAAACC
rnacentral:lncRNA from 1 species